UCCUUUUGUUAAUAAUUUAAGGUCUAGCCUGCCCACUGAAAUUUUAAAUGGCCGUGGUAUUUUGACCGUGCUAAGGUAGCAUAAUCAUUAGUUUUUUAAUUAAAAACUGGAAUGAAAGGUUGGAUGAGAAAAUAGCUGUCUCUGUUAAAUUUAAUUAGAAUUUUAUUUUUAAGUUAAAAAGCUUAAUUAUAAUUAAAAGACGAGAAGACCCUAUAGAGUUUAAUUAUUGAAUAAAAAUUAUAUUUUAGUAUUAAUUUAUUUAUUUUAUUUACUAAUUUAAUUGGGGUGAUUGAAAAAUUUAACUAACUUUUUUUAUUUAAAGCCAUUAAUUUAUGAAUAAAUGAUCCAAUAUUUUUGAUUAUAAGAUAAAAUUACCUUAGGGAUAACAGCGUAAUUUUUUUAGAAAGUUCAUAUUAAAAAAAAAGAUUGCGACCUCGAUGUUGGAUUAAAAUAAAUUUUUGGUGUAGAAGCUAAAAAUAUUAGGUCUGUUCGACCUUUGAAAUUUUACAUGAU
rnacentral:rRNA from 1 species